GAUGAACGCUGGCGGCGUGCCUAAUACAUGCAAGUCGAGCGAACAGACGAGGAGCUUGCUCCUCUGACGUUAGCGGCGGACGGGUGAGUAACACGUGGAUAACCUACCUAUAAGACUGGGAUAACUUCGGGAAACCGGAGCUAAUACCGGAUAAUAUAUUGAACCGCAUGGUUCAAUAGUGAAAGACGGUUUUGCUUUCACUUAUAGAUGGAUCCGCGCCGCAUUAGCUAGUUGGUAAGGUAACGGCUUACCAAGGCAACGAUGCGUAGCCGACCUGAGAGGGUGAUCGGCCACACUGGAACUGAGACACGGUCCAGACUCCUACGGGAGGCAGCAGUAGGGAAUCUUCCGCAAUGGGCGAAAGCCUGACGGAGCAACGCCGCGUGAGUGAUGAAGGUCUUCGGAUCGUAAAACUCUGUUAUUAGGGAAGAACAAAUGUGUAAGUAACUAUGCACGUCUUGACGGUACCUAAUCAGAAAGCCACGGCUAACUACGU
rnacentral:rRNA from 1 species